UCUGAAUUCCUGUGUUUUCACAGAAGCAUAAAUAUUCCAGGUAGAAUCUUUCCCAUAAUAGAGUAGGUUAUUUUUAUUUAUUUAUUUUUUAAUUAGGGCGACAUCAGAUUAACUUUGCAGUUAAUUGCUAGCAUAUACUCGAUGUUGUGAAUGCUCGGGCUAUAAUUCCAUUACAUUGGAGGUGGAGGCUGGACGAUCAGGAGUUCAAUGUCAACAUAAAACUUUAUCUCAAGGAGAAACAGAAGAAGAGCAGAUCAGGUGAGGUGGUUCUCCUGGUAAGGUGAUUGCCACAAGGAGUGAUGAUUUGAGUUCAGUCCCUGAGUCCUGCAUGGUGGAAGGAGAGAACCAACUCCCAAAAUUAUCCUCUGACCACAUCAGCACAGACACACUGAAUAAAGAAAAGGUUGUUUUUUUUUUUUUUUUUUAACAUACUUGAAGCUAUUAUUUUCCCAGGAGCUUAGCUGCUCUAUUAUUUUUUUUAAGGUUUUACUAAAGGUGAUGAGACCCGAACAGCCAGCACACAGAGAAAAACCAUCCACAAAGCAAAGGGGGGAUUUUUGAAGCCAAAGCCUCUGGUACCAUUUUUAAAGAUUUGUUUGUUUGUUUAUUCAUUUCUUAUCGGGAAGGGGCAUUGAGUCAGGGUCUCUCCGUGUAGUCCUGACUGCCUUGGAACUCUGCAGACCAAUUCUGCUGGCCUCAAAUUCACAGAGACCCUCCUGCCUCUGCCUCCUUAUUUUUUAUGUGUAUGAAUGUUUUGCCUCACUAUGUGUCUGUGUACAUCGGUGCUUGAUUUAGAGUCCUGAAAAGGGCAUUGAGUCCCCCUAGAACUGGGUUGUAAGUCAUUGUGUGGAUGGUGGGGACAGAAGCUAGGCCCUCUGCAAGAGCAACAAGUUCUUUUAACCACUGACCCAUCUCCUGUUCCUGAUACUGUUUUCAGAAGCCUGCAUAAAAGUGAUCAGCAUUUUUUUAUACCAAGUUAUGAGCAAAAGCAUACCUUUAUCACCAUCUUGUUGAUUUUAAUUUGGGAGGUGGCCGUCUUUUUUAGUUAGGGUCUCACUGUGUACCUAAGACUCUGUUGCCUUGGUUUCUUGAAUGCUGAGAUUAUAGGUAUGCACCACAAUUGAUAGUUCAACUAGUGAUAAUGGAUUGCUGAAUUAGCAUUCUUACCUAUAUUUACAAAAUACUUGAAUUCUUUCUUUUUAAAUUAUGUGUGUUUGUCUGUCUGUAUGUGUGAAUGUAGGUACCGUUAGAGAUCAGAGAAGUCAGAUCCCCUGGAGAUGGGAGUUUGGGGCAUUGUGAGCUCCUUGAUAUGAGUGCUGAGAACUUAACGUGGUUCCUCUGAAAGAGCAGAUGUACUCUUAUCACUGAGCCACCUCUUCAGCUCCCUAUGGUGUUCUUUUCUGAGACAGGGUCACUAGCCCACGCUGGCCUCAAACUCUAUAUAGCCAAGGAUGCUCUGAGAAUUCUGAUGCUCUGAGUGCUGCAAUUGCAGGCAUAGGCCACUACACCAAGUCUAUGUGGUGCUAGGUAUCCAGCCCACAGUAUGGCCUAUGCUAGGCAAGCACACUACCAACUGAGUUACAUCCCAGCCCAACAUCCAGUUUGUGUUCUGCACUGUGAAACAACAGGUGUGCUAGAAUUAGAAUCAUCUUGAAAUAUUCACAUAUGGACUUAAUUUUAAACUUACACUGCUUGUUGAACCUUAAAGGGACUUUAGAAUCUGCAUGGGUUCAGUUGCUAAAACAGAUGUAGAACUAGGGUCACAGAUGGCACCUAGCUCUCUUCAUGUGGGUUUUCCACAGUACCUUUCAUAAGCCUCCUGCACACUCUGUUAGUCUGCCACCACCGCUGCCAUGCCACCUCCUUCUCAUCUUCCUCCUUUUUUCUUCCUCUUCCUCUUCUUCUUCCUCCUCCCUUCUUCUUCUCCCCUUUUUCUUCUCUUCCUCCUCUUCUUCUCCUUCUUAUUCAUCUUUUUUUUUUUUUUUUUCAGUUUUUUGAGACUGGGUUUCUCUGUGUAGCUCUGGAACUCACUUUGUAGACCAGGCUGGCCUCAAACUCAGAAAUCCGCCUGCCUCUGCCUCCCAAGUACUGGGAUUAAAGGCAUGUGCCACCACGCCCGGCCUUCUUGUUCAUCUUAUUCUUAUUUGAGACAGGGUUUCUCUGUGUAGUCCUGGCUGUCCUGGAACUCACUAGUCCUUUUUUUAAAAGUGGUAUCUCAUGUAGCCUACAGUACCUUGAACUGACUAUGCAGCUCAAGACUACUUCCUGCCUCCACCUCAGAAGUACCGGGAUUAUAGGCACUCACCACCAUACCCAGCUAUUUAUUUUUAUCCUUUGAGAUGGGUUUUACAACAAAGCCCAGGCUGCCCUUGAAUGCCUGGGCUUAAGUGAUCCUCUUGCCUGAGUUUCCAAGUAGCUGGGGUUGCAGGCUUCAGUCUUUCCUCCAUCCCACCCAGUGCAGGAGAUCAAACCCAUAGCCUCAUACAUACAAGGCAAAAUAUCUUACCCUAACUUAAAUAGCCAGUCUCUUCCC
rnacentral:lncRNA from 1 species